UCCCUCUCAGGGUCGCACCUGGAGAGUUUCCGGUACUCUACCAGUCUUGACUACGGGAGGGAGGGUCAAGCAGAGGCUUACCCAUUCCAGUCCUAGCUUGGACAGUGGCUAGCGGAUGGAAGGCAAGCUGCUACAAGU
rnacentral:snoRNA from 1 species